rnacentral:tRNA from 1 species
UCCCUGGUGGUUCUAUGGUUAGGACUCUGCCUUUUCAUGGCCAAGAGUGCAGGUUCAAUUCCUGGCCAGGGAA